UGGAGUGUAGCUCAAUGGUAGAGCACUUGCCUGGCAUGUACAAGGCCCUGGGUUUGAUUCCCAGCACUGUAU
rnacentral:tRNA from 1 species